UACGAAGGGGGCUAGCGUUGCUCGGAAUUACUGGGCGUAAAGCGCACGUAGGCGGCUUUCUAAGUCGGGGGUGAAAUCCUGGAGCUCAACUCCAGAACUACCUUCGAUACUGGAGAGCUCGAGUCCGGGAGAGGUGAGUGGAACUGCGAGUGUAGAGGUGAAAUUCGUAGAUAUUCGCAAGAACACCAGUGGCGAAGGCGGCUCACUGGCCCGGUACUGACGCUGAGGUGCGAAAGCGUGGGGAGCAAACAGG
rnacentral:rRNA from 1 species